GCGGGGGUUGCCUAGCCUGGUCAAAGGCGCGAGGCUUAGAACCUCGUCCCAUAGGGGUUCGUGGGUUCAAAUCCCACCCCCCGCA
rnacentral:tRNA from 1 species